rnacentral:rRNA from 1 species
GACGUAGGAUGCGAGCGUUGUCCGGAUUUAUUGGGCGUAAAGAGUUCGUAGGUUGUUCGUUAAGUCUGGUGUAAAAGACUGGGGCCCAACCCUGGGAUCGCACUGGAUACUGGCGGACUAGAGUGUAGUAGAGGCAAGCGGAGUUCCCAGUGUAGCGGUGAAAUGCGUAGAUAUUGGGAAGAACACCGGUGGCGAAGGCGGCGCUCUGGACCGAGACUGACGCUGAGGCGCGAAGGCGUGGGGAGCAAACAGG